CUUUCCCAGGACAAAGUUCCUUAAGGAAGCAAAGCCCAAGGGAAGAACCAGUGAAACAAUGUGUGAUUAGCUUAUUUGAUUCAGUAGUAUUGACCAUGACUAAAUCAAUGGCAGAAACUGAAACUAAGGCAUAGAGAAAUCAUAUGGCUUAUCUAAUGGCAACGAGUUAAGAAAACCAGAAGGAAAAGAGAGUCAUUUAUGAAACUUCUACUAAUUUGAAAUAACC